AGAGUUUGAUCAUGGCUCAGGAUGAACGCUGGCGGCGUGCUUAACACAUGCAAGUCGAACGAACCUUCGGGUUAGUGGCGGACGGGUGAGUAACGCGUGGGAAUCUGCCCUCAGGAGGGGGAUAACGGCUGGAAACGGCCGCUAAUACCCCAUAUGCCGAGAGGUGAAAUGAAUUUCGCCUGAGGAUGAGCUCGCGUCUGAUUAGCUAGUUGGUGUAGGUAAAGGCUCACCAAGGCAUCGAUCAGUAGCUGGUCUGAGAGGAUGAUCAGCCACACUGGGACUGAGACACGGCCCAGACUCCUACGGGAGGCAGCAGUGGGGAAUUUUCCGCAAUGGGCGAAAGCCUGACGGAGCAACGCCGCGUGAGGGAUGAAGGCCUCUGGGCUGUAAACCUCUUUUAUCAAGGAAGAAGAUCUGACGGUACUUGAUGAAUAAGCCACGGCUAAUUCCGUGCCAGCAGCCGCGGUAAUACGGGAGUGGCAAGCGUUAUCCGGAAUUAUUGGGCGUAAAGCGUCCGCAGGCGGCCCAGAAAGUCUGCUGUUAAAACGUGGAGCUUAACUCCAUCAUGGCAGUGGAAACUGUUGGGCUUGAGUGUGGUAGGGGCAGAGGGAAUUCCCGGUGUAGCGGUGAAAUGCGUAGAUAUCGGGAAGAACACCAGUGGCGAAGGCGCUCUGCUGGGCCAUCACUGACGCUCAUGGACGAAAGCCAGGGGAGCGAAAGGGAUUAGAUACCCCUGUAGUCCUGGCCGUAAACGAUGAACACUAGUGUCGGGGGAAUCGACCCCCUCGGUGUCGUAGCCAACGCGUUAAGUGUUCCGCCUGGGGAGUACGCACGCAAGUGUGAAACUCAAGG
rnacentral:rRNA from 1 species